GGAGUGGUGGCCGAGAGGCUGAAGGCGGCGGUUUGCUAAACCGUUAUAGGGUUUUAAACCCCUAUCGAGGGUUCGAAUCCCUCCCGCUCCG
rnacentral:tRNA from 2 species